rnacentral:rRNA from 1 species
ACGGCUCAGUAACACGUAGAUAAUCUACCCUUAGGUGAAGGAUAAGCACGGGAAACUGUGUCUAAUACUUCAUAAAGGUGAUGCGCUGGAACGCGCUUACCUUGAAACUCGUGCCUAAGGAUGAGUCUGCGGAUGAUUAGCUUGUUGGUGGGGUAACUGCCUACCAAGGCAAUGAUCAUUACGGGCUCUUAGCGGAGUUGCCCGGAGACGGAAUCUGAGACACUAUUCCGAGCUCUACGGAGUGCAGCAGUCGCGGAACUUUUACAAUGCACGAAAGUGUGAUAAAGCGAACCAAAGUGCUAUUCUUUUUGAAUAGCUUUUUUCCAACGUAAAAACUUGGAAGAAUAAGGACUGGGAAAGACUGGUGCCAGCCGCCGCGGUAAUACCAGCAGUUCAAGUUGCAUCCAGUUUUAUUGGGUCUAAAACAUCCGUAGCUUGCCGUUUAAGUCUCUUGUGAAAUCCUACGUCUCAAGCGUGGUGAAGUGCAGGAGAUACUGGGCGGCUAGAGAUCGGUAGACGUAAGCAGUACGCGACGGGUAACGGUCAAAUGUGUUAAUCCGUCGUGGACUAACAAUCAGCGAAGGCAGCUUACGAGGACGAAUCUGACAGUGAGGGAUGAAGGCCAGGGGCGCAAAACGGAUUAGAUACCCGUGUAGUCCUGGCAGUAAACACUGUUCACUAAACAUCGGGCCCUCUUCGGGAGGAUUCGGUGCUGAAGGGAAGCCGCAGAGUGAACUACCUGGGAAGUAUAGUCGCAAGGCCGAAACUUAAAGGAAUUGGCGGGGGAGCAC